rnacentral:rRNA from 1 species
CCUACGGGGAGCAGCAGUGAGGAAUAUUGGUCAAUGGCCGGAAGGCUGAACCAGCCAUGCCGCGUGAAGGUCAGUGCCCUAUGGGCGUUAAACUUCUUUUGUGCGGGAGCAAUAAUGGUCACGUGUGGCCAGACGAGAGUACCGUACGAAUAAGCAUCGGCUAAAUCCGUGCCAGCAGCCGCGGUAAUACGGGGGAUGCAAGCGUUAUACGGAUUUAUUGGGGUUAAAGUGUGCGUAGGCUGUGAGGUAAGUCAGCGGUGAAAUGCACCCGCUCAACGGGGUGAAGUGCCAUUGAUACUGCCUUGCUGGAAUGCGGAUGCCGUGGGAGGAAUGUGUGGUGUAGCGGUGAAAUGCAUAGAUAUCACACAGAACACCGAUUGCGAAGGCAUCUCACGAAUCCGCGAUUGACGCUGAUGCACGAAAGCGUGGGUAUCAAACAGGAUUAGAUACCCUAGUAGUC